ACGUAGGUGGCGAGCGUUGUCCGGAUUUACUGGGUGUAAAGGGCGCGUAGGCGGGAGGACAAGUCAGAUGUGAAAUACCCGGGCUCAACCCGGGAACUGCAUUUGAAACUGUUUUUCUUGAGUGAUGGAGAGGCAAGUGGAAUUCCUAGUGUAGCGGUGAAAUGCGUAGAUAUUAGGAGGAACACCAGUGGCGAAGGCGACUUGCUGGACAUUAACUGACGCUGAGGCGCGAAAGCGUGGGGAGCAAACAG
rnacentral:rRNA from 1 species